AGUGAACGCUGGCGGUAGGCCUAACACAUGCAAGUCGAACGGCAGCACAGUAAGAGCUUGCUCUUACGGGUGGCGAGUGGCGGACGGGUGAGGAAUACAUCGGAAUCUACUUUUUCGUGGGGGAUAACGUAGGGAAACUUACGCUAAUACCGCAUACGACCUACGGGUGAAAGCAGGGGAUCUUCGGACCUUGCGCGAUUGAAUGAGCCGAUGUCGGAUUAGCUAGUUGGCGGGGUAAAGGCCCACCAAGGCGACGAUCCGUAGCUGGUCUGAGAGGAUGAACAGCCACACUGGAACUGAGACACGGUCCAGACUCCUACGGGAGGCAGCAGUGGGGAAUAUAGGACAAUGGGCGCAAGCCUGAUCCAGCCAUACCGCGUGGGUGAAGAAGGCCUUCGGGUUGUAAAGCCCUUUUGUUGGGAAAGAAAAGCAGCAGGUUAAUACCCCGCUGUUCUGACGGUACCCAAAGAAUAAGCACCGGCUAACUUCGUG
rnacentral:rRNA from 1 species